CAAAGGAUUGCAGGGAAGGAUUACUCGCCCUAUGCGCCAACGGCAUGUCGCUCGCGGCGGCCGGUCCUCCCCUGUUGCGCCUUGGCUACUGCUUCCCUUCCUCCGACCUGCUCCUCGCCGCAAGCCAGGCUACCCUCCACUUCUCUUCUUCUAGAAAACGCCGCACGCACCUGAUGGUCGCUCCACCUCCGGCGGAAAAUCGGCUGCGGAUUCGCCGAACUCGUCGACGCCCACAGGAUUGAACCUCGCCCGAUUUGGGGGAUUUGGGAUGGGAGUCAUGAGGAGAGAGCACUGAGGUUGCAGUUUCGAAACGAGCGUCGGUAGUGGGAGGGGGUGGAC
rnacentral:rRNA from 1 species